GACGUAGGGUGCGAGCGUUGUCCGGAUUUAUUGGGCGUAAAGCGCGCGUAGGCGGGGAAUUAAGUGAGAAGUGAAAGGCUGGGGCUCAACCUCAUGCAGUGCUUCUCAUACUGGUUCUCUUGAGGGCGGUAGGGAGAAGUGGAAUGGCUGGUGUAGCGGUGGAAUGCGCAGAUAUCAGGAGGAACACCGAUGGCGAAGGCAGUUCUCUGGGCCGUAACUGACGCUGAGGAGCGAAAGCGUGGGGAGCGAACAGG
rnacentral:rRNA from 1 species